rnacentral:rRNA from 1 species
GAGUUGAGAGACUGAUCGGCCACAUUGGGACUGAGACACGGCCCAAACUCCUACGGGAGGCAGCAGUAGGGAAUCUUCCACAAUGGACGAAAGUCUGAUGGAGCAACGCCGCGUGAGUGAAGAAGGGUUUCGGCUCGUAAAGCUCUGUUGGUAGUGAAGAAAGAUAGAGGUAGUAACUGGCCUUUAUUUGACGGUAAUUACUUAGAAAGUCACGGCUAACUACGUGCCAGCAGCCGCGGCAAUACGUAGGUGGCAAGCGUUGUCCGGAAUUAUUGGGCGUAAAGCGCGCGCAGGCGGUUCUUUAAGUCUGAUGUGAAAUCUUAUGGCUUAACCAUAAGCGUGCAUUGGAAACUGGAGAGCUUGAGUACAGAAGAGGAGAGUGGAAUUCCACGUGUAGCGGUGAAAUGCGUAGAGAUGUGGAGGAACACCAGUGGCGAAGGCGACUCUCUGGUCUGUAACUGACGCUGAGGUGCGAAAGCGUGGGUAGCAAACAGGAUUAGAUACCCUGGUAGUCCACGCCGUAAACGAUGAGUGCUAGGUGUUAGGGGGUUUCCGCCCCUUAGUGC